GGGWUUAGUAUUUAGUUGUCAGAGGUGAAAUUCUAGGAUUUACUGAAGACUGACCAAUGCGAAAGCAUUGCCAAGGAUGUUUUCAUUAAUCARGAAMGAAARUWGGGGGRUYGGAGRMGAUCMGAUACCGUUGUAGUUUYUACCCUAAAMUAAGCCGACCAGGGAUCCGGAGAGUUUGUAUGUGUGGCUCCCCUGGCACUUAGGRGAAAUMUAAGUUUUGGGUUUGGGGGGAGUAUGGUCGCAAGGCGAAACUAAAGAAUGACGGAAGGAACCAAGUAUUCC
rnacentral:rRNA from 1 species